rnacentral:rRNA from 1 species
GCAUAUUAAUCAGCGGAGGAA